AUUGAACGCUGGCGGCAGGCUUAACACAUGCAAGUCGAGCGGAGUGAUGGUGCUUGCACUAUCACUUAGCGGCGGACGGGUGAGUAAUGCUUAGGAAUCUGCCUAUUAGUGGGGGACAACAUCUCGAAAGGGAUGCUAAUACCGCAUACGUCCUACGGGAGAAAGCAGGGGAUCACUUGUGACCUUGCGCUAAUAGAUGAGCCUAAGUCGGAUUAGCUAGUUGGUGGGGUAAAGGCCUACCAAGGCGACGAUCUGUAGCGGGUCUGAGAGGAUGAGCCGCCACACUGGGACUGAGACACGGCCCAGACUCCUAAGGGAGGCAGCAGUGGGGAAUAUUGGACAAUGGGGGGAACCCUGAUCCAGCCAUGCCGCGUGUGUGAAGAAGGCCUUAUGGUUGUAAAGCACUUUAAGCGAGGAGGAGGCUCUUUUGGUUAAUACCCAAGAUGAGUGGACGUUACUCGCAGAAUAAGCACCGGCUAACUCUGUGCCAGCCGCCGCGGUAA
rnacentral:rRNA from 1 species